CUAUGAAUGUCGGACGUAGUGUGAUCCGAAAACUCAUAAGUUCCUAAAACGUAGUACACACGAAAUAUGACAGUUCAACCUUGUCCUUUUUAAUGGCAAUUGUACAAUAACAACAAAUUAAUAAUUUUCCAAAAACUUAAAGUCGAAAUUCUUAAAAUUGAAAAUCUUUUUCUGAAUUGAUUAUGAGAAAAUCUAGAGUGUCAUUUGAGGUAAAUUACAGUUCAACAUUCUGUUCACGUUUGCCGUCAACUGCCAAAUCGAUAUUUUUUAUGUCUUCGAGUUCAGAUGACCUAUUCUCGACUAUGACUGCAAGACCAUUUGGUACAGUGAGUCUGAGACAAAAGAAAUUUACAAAACCAUUCAGCACUCUUCGAAGUAAUAAAGUCGAACCGAAUCUUAAAAGAAUUGAACUUGACAAGGAUAAGCGACAGUAUACUAAAUUCAGGAAGAGAUCGGAAACUUUAACUGAAUUUGAAAAAAGUCCUAUAUUUGAACAUGAACCCCAUUGUCCUCUCUUUAAAGUAAAACAAAAUUCU